CCUACGGGUGGCAGCAGUGGGGAAUAUUGGACAAUGGGGGCAACCCUGAUCCAGCCAUGCCGCGUGUGUGAAGAAGGCCCUCGGGUUGUAAAGCACUUUCAGUGAGGAAGAACGCCUGGUGGUUAAUACCCAUCAGGAAAGACAUCACUCACAGAAGAAGCACCGGCUAACUCCGUGCCAGCAGCCGCGGUAAUACGGAGGGUGCGAGCGUUAAUCGGAAUUACUGGGCGUAAAGCGCGCGUAGGUGGCUUGAUAAGCCGGUUGUGAAAGCCCCGGGCUCAACCUGGGAACGGCAUCCGGAACUGUCAAGCUAGAGUGCAGGAGAGGAAGGUAGAAUUCCCGGUGUAGCGGUGAAAUGCGUAGAGAUCGGGAGGAAUACCAGUGGCGAAGGCGGCCUUCUGGACUGACACUGACACUGAGGUGCGAAAGCGUGGGUAGCAAACAGGAUUAGAUACCAGGGUAGUC
rnacentral:rRNA from 1 species